GCCGGAUCCUGGGCUGUGUCCCGGCGCCCAGAGCUCCGGGGCCUGCGCUGUUGGAUUCGCGCUCUGGCCGCGCAG
rnacentral:pre_miRNA from 1 species